rnacentral:rRNA from 1 species
GGUUAAGCGACUAAGCGUACACGGUGGAUGCCUAGGCAGUCAGAGGCGAUGAAGGGCGUGCUAAUCUGCGAAAAGCGUCGGUAAGGUGAUAUGAACCGUUAUAACCGACGAUACCCGAAUGGGGAAACCCAGUGCAAUUCGUUGCACUAUUGCAUGGUGAAUACAUAGCCAUGCAAGGCGAACCGGGGGAACUGAAACAUCUAAGUACCCCGAGGAAAAGAAAUCAACCGAA